rnacentral:rRNA from 1 species
AGAGUUUGAUCAUGGCUCAGAAUGAACGCUGGCGGCGUGCUUAACACAUGCAAGUCGCACGAGAACGCUUCAGCUUGCUGAAGCUAGUAAAGUGGCGCACGGGUGAGUAACGCGUGGGUAAUCUACCCUUGAAUCGGGGAUAACAUCGCGAAAGCGAUGCUAAUACCGGAUAACAUCUUAAAAACCUCGGUUUUAAAGAUCAAAGGUGGCCUCUACAUGUAAGCUACUGUUUGGGGAUGAGCCCGCGUACCAUUAGCUUGUUGGUAGGGUAAUGGCCUACCAAGGCUGCGAUGGUUAGCUGGUCUGAGAGGAUGAUCAGCCACACUGGAACUGACACACGGUCCAGACUCCUACGGGAGGCAGCAGUGAGGAAUUUUGCGCAAUGGGGGAAACCCUGACGCAGCAACGCCGCGUGAGUGAUGAAGGCUUUCGGGUCGUAAAGCUCUGUCAAGUGGGAAGAACCCACAUGGUGAUAAUACCAUCAUGUGCUGACGGUACCACUGAAGGAAGCACCGGCUAACUCCGUGCCAGCAGCCGCGGUAAUACGGGGGGUGCAAGCGUUAUUCGGAAUUACUGGGCGUAAAGAGCGCGUAGGCGGUCUCUUAAGUCGGGUGUGAAAGCCCGGGGCUCAACCCCGGAAGUGCACUCGAAACUAAGGGACUUGAGUAUGGGAGAGGGAAGUGGAAUUCCUGGUGUAGCGGUGAAAUGCGUAGAUAUCAGGAGGAACAUCGGUGGCGAAGGCGACUUCCUGGACCAAUACUGACGCUGAGGCGCGAAGGCGUGGGGAGCAAACAGGAUUAGAUACCCUGGUAGUCCACGCAGUAAACGGUGAUCACUAGGUGUAGCGGGUAUUGACCCCUGCUGUGCCGCAGCAAACGCAUUAAGUGAUCCGCCUGGGGAGUACGACCGCAAGGUUAAAACUCAAAGGAAUUGACGGGGGCCCGCACAAGCGGUGGAGCAUGUGGUUUAAUUCGACGCAACGCGAAGAACCUUACCUGGAUUUGACAUCCCGGGAAUCUUUUGGAAACUCUAGAGUGCCCUUCGGGGAGCCCUGGUGACAGGUGCUGCAUGGCUGUCGUC